rnacentral:rRNA from 1 species
AUCAGUCUCCAAGGUGAAUAGCCUCUGGCCCAUGGAACAAUGUAGGCAAGGGAAGUCAGCAAAAUGGAUCCGUAACCGGGAAAAGGAUUGGCUCGAGGGCUGGGCACGGGGUCCCGGCCCCCGAACCCGUCGGCUAUCGGCGGACUGCUCGAAAGCUGCUCUCGCGGCGAGAGCGGUCGCCAGCGUCGGCCGGGGGGAUCGGACCGGGAAUGGCCCCCCGGGGGGGCCUUCCCGGCGUUGAACAGCCAACUCAGACUGGUACGGACAAGGGGAAUCCGACUGUUUAAUUAAAACAAAGCAUUGCGAUGGUCCCCGCGGAUGCUCACGCAAAUGUGAUUUCUGCCCGGUGCUCUGAAUGUCAAAGUGGAGAAAUUCAACCAAAAGCGUAAACGGCGGGGAGUAACUAUGACUCUCUUAAGGUAGCCAAAUGCCUCGUCAUCUAAUUAGUGAUGCGCAUGAAUGGAUUAACGAGAUUCCCACUGUCCCCAUCUACUAUCCAGUGAAACCACAGCCAAGGGAACGGGGCUUGGCAGAAUCAGCGGGGAAAGAAGACCUGUUGAGCUUGACUCUAGUCCGACUUUGUGAACCGACUUGAGAGGUGUAGGAUAAGUCGGAGCCGGUUCAGCCGCGGAAGUGAAAUACCACUACUUUUAACGUUAUUUUACUUAUUCCGUGAGUCGGAGGCGGGGCCCGGCCCCUCCUUUUGGACCCAAGGCCCGCCUAGCGGGCCGAUCCGGCCGGAAGACAUUGUCUAGUGGGGAGUUUGGCUGG